CUCACAUAUGCUGGUAUGAGUUUUAAUUAAAACAAGUAAAUAACGUAUUGGGAAUAGAGUCGUAAUUAAAAUGCUAAGUCAAAGACGAGACAGUUACUCAAAUCAAAAUGAAUUCUAAAUAAAAACGAAGAGACAAUUACGAUUUAUGCCCAUCGAAAUGUUUUUAUAAAAUUAGCGAAUUUAGAGAUAUUGGUUGGGGUGGUAAAUUAUAAUUCCGGAUUUGAACAGAUGUGAUAAAUUAGGUUUGGUUUAUCGAACAACAAUUAUUUACAAUUCAUUAAAAGUCGUUACGGAUUGAGCCAAGGUUGAGCGCUUGUUGAUGACAUCACUCACGAGGCACUGUUGUCGCCACGGACUGGGGGUAACGGAGAAAAUUGUUCGUGUCUUUUAGAAGGAAAAUGCGUGCAUUAUUGUUUUGAGUCACUUUUCAGAAGGUGAAUUACAGAUGAAGUCACUCAAUCCAGUCCCUGAGGCCUGUUGGGGGGACCAUACCAAAGACUCCUGGUGACAGCUAGCUGAAAGAGCUACCCGGAUUCAUAUCGCACUGCGGGAGGGUAAGGCACAUUUGACACUGUCGAACAAUAACAGAGUUCGAGAGGAGAACUGGAAUUAAUAGAAUUCUGGGGGCCAUCUCUCGAAUGAAAAAUACCCUACCUGUCCUUUCCUCACUGUUGUUGUUCAUAGAAGUGAAGAUGUGUCUGGCUCUUGCUAAGUGAUGUGUUCUCGGAGAGGGUGGGGCUUCACAUGGAAGCUGUUCGUCUGAGCUGUCUUAUCGUGGGUGACAUAUUCCUGAUAAGCACGUCCUACUUGAGUAUGCGGAGAGUGAUAAUUUGACCCAUGGUUUGGACGAUGAGGAUUUUGUUCCAAAAUAAGCAUAAGAUAUCCCUAGAUCUGGGUAGACAGGAAGUUAGAGUAGAGGUUGGGAAGGAUCUCUCAAUCGAGUUUUAUGUAGACCAAAAUGGAGUCUCUAACUACAUGGCAGUCUGGGACACUGAGCCAAUAUGGGAUAUAUCGGUGCAGGUUCCCAUAUUGAUCGUGGACACAGGUCAUAGCUCAUUUGGAGAGAGAGGGCUAUAUGAAUCCACUCAGUAUGGAGGAACAAAGUAUACAUUGAUAACAUUGGGGUUCCACGGACGUGGACUGGAUUAAUUAUAUUUAUUAUAAUCAACAGCGCUUUAACAAUUAUACCAGAGAUGCUAUUAAAUGUUUUGCAGAACAGACUGAAGCAACCAGCCUGGAUGGCUUGACAGAAUAGAAUUGCAUUAGAUUUGUUAAUGGCUGAAAAGGGAGAAGUAUGCGUGUUUAUCAGGACCAUGUUUGUGCUUACAUCCCAAAUAACACAGCUUGGAGAAGAAGGGUAUCCUUAUAGCAUAGGGGAUUCCACAAAGGUGGAUAGGUUUUCCAUGAUAUGGGGAAAACCUGGGAGCACUGUUGAACUCUGUAAAGGUGAUAAUCCUACUAACCAUCAAAACUAUUAAGCUCUCUGAUGCAGGCAUUUACACCCUCGGACCACAAAGGAUCGGGACAGACACGAUGGGUGUGUUUUCUAUUAAAGUGCUGCCAAAACCAGAGGUCCCAGACGAACCAGGGCCAGACACACUCCUCUACUACCCCUGGACCGAACCUGCCACCACUGUGUUAAAAAUCCCAUUCAGGUAAUUAAUGUUAGCACUGAGACUGGUGUUGAUGGUAGGGACAAUUUGUGGCUGUCUUAUAUGAGGUGUACAGCUAAGACCCUGAAAAGAAAGGACUGCAUGAGUUACAUGAAACAUUGGUCAUGCUAGACCUGUUCUGGCUACGCACCCAUUUGCUAUAGGAGAAGGAGAGGGGUGGCUGUGUAUUCUGAGGUUUUUACCAGGUUCAGCCCAAUUCAACUCUCUGUUCCUCUUUGAGCCCUGUGUUUCCUGCAGUACCUCCUCAUCGGGGCCCUUGGGGUGUUAAGGCAUAUGGGGGCAAUUACAGUUGCAUCACGGGUACAGGUAAUGGCAUUGAUUAUGGGAGAUAGUCUGAAGCUGAUUGCAGUAGUAACAUAGCCAUUAAUUCCACUUGGCCAGUUACAGGCCUAAACCAAACUAGUGGUCUGGCUGAUGUGUGGUGGAUCUGUGGACCCAAAAGAGUGCUGAGACCCAUUCUUAGAGGAGACUGGCAAGGUACGUGUGCUCUGACCAGUUUGAUAAUUCCACUGACCAUUGUUGAUGUUACUGCUGAGCAGCUGUUGGGUUCUUUAUCCAGGGGACCUGAAAACAUUCCAUCCCAUGGGAGACAUAGACGUAGUGCUCCAUGGACAGAGGAUGUAGUUGACAUACACACUAACCUGUUGGGAGUGCUAGUGGGGGUUCCUCAUGAGUUUCAGGCCCUGGGUAGGAAUGAUGGACUCUUACUACCUAUUAUAGGUCCAGCCAUAGUGGAUGCAAGACAGACUGCAAGGAUGAAUUAUAUCUACUAUAAUCAACAGCGUUUUGUGAAUUACUUCCGUGAUGCACUCACUGGUCUGUCUGAACAGCUUGAGGCCACAUCUAGGGUUGCCAGACAGAAUAGACUUGCUUUGGAUAUGCUUCUUGCCAGUCAGGGGGGUGUCUGCAAGAUGUUCGGUGAACAAUGUUGCACGUAUAUUCCUAAUAACACCAGUCCAGAUGGUAGUAUAUCUAAGGUCCUUAGUGGGCUUGAUGCACUAUCUGCUGAGAUGAGGACCAUGGCGGGGGUGGAGGAGUCUGGACUGCUCUCUUGGUUGGGAGCCUGGUUUGGUAAGUACACUAGUAUUGUGGUUACUGGAUUUCUGACCCUAAUUCUUGUAUUUUUGUUAUUGAUGUGUUGUGCUGCUUGCAUCAUACCGUAUUUUAAGAAGUCUGUUACAGAUGUGGUGAAGGCUUCAGGCAUGAUGCCUUUGCUUGAUGCUCCAGUUGGAGAUGCUGAUACUGAAGCAUGCAUUCAGGGGAGGAUGAGACUGACUGAGGAUGACCCAUGGUAUGCUGUGGGCGAACCAAGUAGCUGCAGGUUUUGAAUCCUCAAUCUGCUGGUGGUGCACAGUUAACAAAAAUAUAGAUCGUAUUAACUACAUUCAUUUUAAUGUCCAAAAACUAGGCAAUUGGACUCAGCAAGGAUUCGAAGCCGUGCAUGGUCAACUGGCAGCAACAUCUUUGAUGGCUUUCCAAAAUAGGAUUGCUGUUGACAUGUUAUUGGCUGAACGUGGCGGGGUUUGGGCUAUGUUUGGUGAGCAGUGUUGCACUUUUAUUCCCAAUAACACAGCGGCUGAAGGCAGUUUGACUGUGGCCCUAGAGGGACUACGAACUCUUAAUGGGAAAAUGAAAUACCAUUCAGGUGUUGACACCUCUAUGUGGGAUUCCUGGAUGGAUGCUUUUGGUAGAUAUAAAACACUGAUCUCCUCUAUCCUAGUGUCCAUUGCUGUUUUUGUAGCUAUCCUAGCCCUUUGCGGCUGUUGUUGCAUUCCCUGUGCCCGCACAUUGGCCACUAGAGUUAUUACCACUGCCAUCACCCCACUGCCCAGUGAUCAGACCCACAUGUACCCCUUUUAGCGGCUGAUGACCCCGAUGAGGCAUUUCCAUCUUUUGAGGAACCCCUCAUCCUGUCUAUCCCUCUUGGCCACUCCAGGUGUAGCACUUGGGGUGGACUCCUUUUGGUCCUUGCUUAUUUACCUCGCUUAGCUCCAUACAAGGGGGCUUCUUGUUUUCGUUAUAUCCUCCUCCUUUCUGCUAUAGUCUUCACGUCUUAGUAGACGUGAAGAGGGGGACUACAAUUUGAACUACAGUUCCUACCAAAUUGAUUUGGUUGCUUCAUGUUUUGGUUCUAUUGUUCACGUCUAGUAGACGUGAAGAGGGGGAUUUGUUAUAUAAAUAUUCAUACACAUGGCUCAUAUAUUAUACAGCACUAAGCUGAUCUGCCUGACUCAAGUCAUUUCUUGUACCCCUGCUAAAACUGUCCCCCGACACAAACAUACCCAGCAAUAAACUACCCCCCUCAGCUCUUUGUGUUUCAAGACCCCUCUGAUCUCCGGUCUCACUGUCCCCUGACACACACAUACCCAGCAAUAAGCUACCCCCCUCAGCUAUGUUAUUUCACGACCCCAUUUGCUCCCUUAUCUCACGACUCCGGGACACACACGGACAUUCCAUCACACAAACACACACACCUGGCCAUAAUGGGACACACAAACAUCUUCUUGCAUAAACACACACACACUCCACUCCCCUUUCUACUGGGCAGGAGCCAGGAUGGGAGGACUUCACGGGGCACCAAUAAGGCUCCUGCACAGGCUCGGUCAGGACCCGCCUCCAACCUUCACCAACCAGUCAGAAGACAGAACUACAAGAAUCAACCUAUGUAUAAAAUCUGUUGCACACUCUGUUUAGGGAUCCUUGUCAGCUGCCUCCUGAGCCAUAUGACUAGGUCCAUGCACGCUUAAUUAGAGGACAAGAUAUCUUUUACAUAAUAAACUGCCUUUUUGCUAUACUUGAA